ACACCAGAUACUUAUCUUUAAAUAUAUAUAUAUAUAUAUAUAUAUUAAAAAAAAAAAAAAAAACCCAACAACAAAACCUAAAACAAAACCUGGCCGUCCCUACCCUAUUCCAGAAUCAGGAAAAAAGAAAAGAGCGAGAGAGAGAAGAUGAUGAAAACGUCAAUGGCUUCCCUAAGGUCAUUCUCCGCGAGGUUCGUGGUUGCUCCGCUGAGAAACAGUGCUAAUUGAUGGGUAUACUAUUGUGGAAUUGCAUCGUGUUUUGGUUUAGGACUCUAUCACCACAAGUCAAACUCAAAACCCACACACACGAUGCACAGGGCAAAGAGCAAAGGGCAGUGGACAAUUGGGCCUGGAUUUUUUAAUUUGGAAAUAUUUCCUAUUCUAUUUUUUUUCUUUCUAAUUGAAGCUCCUUUGGAAUCGCAGUUCUCUCUAAAUGGUGACAAGUUGAAUUUAUUGCUUUGGAACUGGGUUUAGUAAUUUAAUUUGGAUGCUUUGGUCACAAUAGAUGGGUUUAUUGUUUAGACUUAUUGACAAUUUUUUUCAAAGUAAAAAUAGUUUUCUGUAACUAAUCUUAAUGAAAUCCUGGGGAUCAAAUAAGUGUAGGAUUGAAUGUUGUGCUGAUAUUUGCUUUUCUUUUUUAAUCUUAUUUAGGUCUAUUGUUCAGUUAAGGUUUGUCGGAACCGCAAGCAAAGAGAGAUAGGCCGUAUCACCGUAACCGGGAAAAAGAAAUCACAGUUAGGUAUUCUUACCUCAGGGUUUGUUACUGUCGUUGAAGGCACUGCUGGACUAGAAACAUGGAAUACUCCAAUGCAACCUUCAACUGCUGAACGUAUUGAGCUAUAAUCCAGUAAGUCUGCCUUGAACAGUCUCAGGUUUUUGGAUGCAUUCUCAAAGGAGCAUAUUUUGCAUCUCCUGCACAGAAUUUCCUCAACAUUCAGUAAAAUUAUUUUGAAAUGGCAAAACUCUAAAAAACUUUUUUGAUACAAAUUUGUUUUUUGAAAAUUGGAAGUAGUAAAUGGCAUUUCCAGUAUACUUGGUCAACCCAUAGAAAUAAAUUCUUACUAUGAUUUGAUAGUUCCUCACAAUGAGUCCAUUUGUUUUCAUAGUAUUUGAUAUGAUUAUAUUUUAUUUUACACAAAAAAAAAAAAAAAAAAAAAACCUUGAGUCUAUUCUCCCAUUGAAACUGAUAUUAGAUUUUCUUUUUAUUUUUUAUUUGUGACUGAUAUUGAAAUCCCAGUAUCAAUUCACUUAGGAAAACAUACGCAACUAGGAUAUAGUCAAUGACCCUAUAGUUUAUUGAUUUCAUACUUAAUUCCAUCUGCCUUGAUACUUUAAAUAAAUUACCACUUAUCUAAAAAUUGUAAAUUGUUAGAAACUAAUAAAUUUAAUCAUUCAAUCAAAAUUCUUAAUUGCUCUUUCGGAAAUCCUAUUGCAAGGAGGGGGGAGAAUAUUGUCCAAAGAAUGAUGGAAAACUAGCAGUUUAUUCACGUGAUUUCAAAUCAAUAUCUAAUCUAAUACUAUAUAUGUUAAAACAGAAGCUAAGAGAAAGUAAGGACCUACAAUCAAGGAUGCUGGGAAAGGUAGAGAUAGAGUUAUUUUCUAUAUUUUGCUCCCAUGUCUUGCUGCUUGCUUUGUUGUAUAUGUUCUUCCCAUUGGUUGUGCAGGGUGAAUAGGAAAAGGAGCUACCUUUGUUGGGUUUCUUGGUUCAAUAAGAAAAAGGAGGAAGCUUUAUACGUUUUUCGUCGUGCUUUCCUUGGGUUUCUUUGAGAGGUUGGUUUGACUGUUGUGGAGAGUUGUUGGUGGUCUUUUUGGGUUAGGAAAGGAUUCUGUUUAUGGAGUUAUAGAGGGCUGGAACAGUGGUACUUUUUGUAUUUGUUAUGUUACUUUUUUUUCUUUUCUAUCUCAUUUGUCUAUAUUGAAUUGUGCUUAAGAACAGCCAAUGCUAUUGCCCAUUGUACCUA